AGACUUGCAGUGGUCGGAUCGUAGCCAAUGAAGUUUACCAGAGGCGUGAUUAUUGCUAAUUGAAAUCUUUUCCUAAUGCCCUGCCAUGAAGAAUGAACUUCCCAUUUGAGCAAUUUCUACCCCUUUCACGUCCAUAUUAUAUAAAG
ensembl:snRNA U4 U4 spliceosomal RNA